GAUGAACGCUGGCUACAGGCUUAACACAUGCAAGUCGAGGGGAAACGACGGGGAAGCUUGCUUCCCCGGGCGUCGACCGGCGCACGGGUGAGUAACGCGUAUCCAACCUGCCUCUGACUGAGGGAUAACCCGUCGAAAGUCGGCCCAAUACCUCAUGGUAUCGUCUGCGGGCAUCCAACGACGAUUAAAGAUUUCAUCGGUCAGGGAUGGGGAUGCGUCUGAUUAGCUUGUUGGCGGGGUAACGGCCCACCAAGGCUACGAUCAGUAGGGGUUCUGAGAGGAAGGUCCCCCACAUUGGAACUGAGACACGGUCCAAACUCCUACGGGAGGCAGCAGUGAGGAAUAUUGGUCAAUGGGCGAGAGCCUGAACCAGCCAAGUAGCGUGCAGGAAGACGGCCCUAUGGGUUGUAAACUGCUUUUAUGCGGGGAUAAAGUGAGGGACGUGUCCCUCAUUGCAGGUACCGCAUGAAUAAGGACCGGCUAAUUCCGUG
rnacentral:rRNA from 1 species